AGGCGCGUGUUUACUCCCACCAGACACUCAGACCAAAUAUCACCUCCGCUCCCGGCCAGUAAGUUUCUUGUCUGCCUCUUAGUUCUUUGGUUCUUCUGUAGAAACACAAGACUUUCUGUUAAACUGACUUCUUUAUUUGGGGUAAACUGUUAUAUACCAAAAGCAUCAAGAUGGAAACCUGUAUCUCCAUAUCUCAUCUUUACAUCCGAUGGUGGUACACUUUACCGAGCUCGUAAUUCCUCCUAUUGCACACAUCUCCAGUGGACUCUGUAAUUUCUAGCUCGUAAUUUAAAGCUACCUGUAAUACCUCAUCAUCACUGUCUACCUGGCACUGUCGUCCUUGGAACUUGCCUCCCACCCCAUCUGACUUGAUGUACACAUUUCUUCGGGCACUUGUCACAUCCUGUGCUCUAUUACAGUUAAGAUCAGCUGUGUGCAUUCCCCUUCUCUGGUAAGACAGGAACCCUGUUACUUGUGGGGAGUAGGUUUGUGUGUGCUUCUGUCUCUGGAUCUUCCAUUGCAUCCGACACAAUAGGACUUGGUAUGGGUUAGUCACUCAGGGAAUGUCUGCUGAACAAAUGAAGGCAAUUAGGGGGAAAAAAAAUUAAACCCUCAACAGUCUUUAAAACAAUCCAGUGAAUAGAUUUACCAGAACUGUGAGGCCAUAGUUAUUUUGACAUUUUUACCUCCCACUUGCUGUUCUAAAUAAAAGCAAAAUAAAACCAUAGGUUCUUCAAAUGUCAAAAAUGAAUUCAGUGAUAUAAAGUACAAUGGGUCACACUGACUACUUUUGAUUAACUUUCUGCUACUGAGAAGACAUGUGUACAUGACUCUGCUUUUCUCAGAGGAGCAGUGCCUUUGUUCUGUUCUGAAUUCGUGGGGAAAAAGAGGAGUUGUUGAUAAAACAAAGAUCUUGACUUUGUCUCAAAUGGGAGACAAAGAAGGCAUUAUGGAGAUUAGGAAACAAAAUAUCUGGAUUCUUGUACAUGCGCUGCCUCUGUCUAGCUGUGUGUCCUCCCACCCGUCCCUUUCUGGGCCUUAGUCUCCCCCGAUGUCACAUGAGGGAGCUGAAGUAGUUAAUUGCCAGCGCUUCCAUCCCGCCUGGAAUUCUAGGCUGGGGUUGAGGAGUAAUUCCUUCCGAUGACAUAUGGCCCAACCUUCAGCUCUUAAUUGGCCCGCCAUCAUGAUCACAAGUACCUGAUUAUUCACACACUUUUGAAUAUAUGAAUUGCAUAAAGCUGUUCAGUGAUGGUGAAAAUUGAGUCCUAAAUAUUCUAUCAGAUGUAUAUGUAAUGUAACCUAUUCAGGAUCUCAUUAGGGUGUAAAAUGAUAUGUGAAAUAUGCACCAAGUGAGAAAGACUUAGAACAUUAUGAUAACGGAGUAAUACAAUUUGAUUUUUAUGAGUUAAGGAUGAUGGUAUAAUAAGAGCUUCAGUUCUAUGAAGCCUGGAGCUGCAGUGUGUAGAGUUGUGUCUAGUAGGGAAAAGCCAUGAGAAUGUGUUGUUUUCAUUCUUGUAUGCCUAUGUUCACAGAAUCAACUAUUUCACUCAGACCUGGGAAACAAAGCCGCUUAUUAGCCUCUUUGUUCGAGUCAUUCUGACUCGUCACCCACACCGUUUAUAUUUAUGUUCAUGCAUAUUUCAUUAUUCUUUUGCCAUGCUGGUGCCACAAAGAGAAAUAUAUGUGCUUUGAAAAGGUACCCAGAAUCCCCCAAUUUCUCAUCAGAAAAAAUUAAAACCACUUACCUCACAUAAACUCACUUCAGAAAAUGUGAAUGCAACACUGUUGCCCAAACCACUUUCUCCUUUGAAUGCCAGCUGUCCACACCGCAGCUCUACUGACCUUCUACUUCCAGCGCCUGAGACAUAUACCACCUCCCAGGCGGCUGGGGCUUGUGUGGGUGUUCAUCUGGCCGAACAGAACAGGCUCGUGUUCUCACUCUGCUAUCUGGGACCUGGAUUCUCCAUCUACCACUCAGCAGCUCUGUGAAUGCUGGAGAGAUGUUUCAUUUCUCUAAGAUCCUAAUUUUCUCAUCAGUAAGAGAGGAACGGUUAUGGGGCACCUGGGUGGCUCAGUCGGUUAAGCGACCAACUCUUGGUUUCGGCUCAGGUCAUGAUCUCACAGUUCGUGAGUUCAAGCCCUGCAUCAGGCUCCACAGCUGGCAGUGUGGAGCCUGCUUGAGAUUCUCUCUCUGCCUCUGCCCCACUUGGCACUAUCUCUGUCUCUCUCAAAAUAAAUAAAUAAACUUAAAAAAUGGGAAAGAAUAGUUAUAUUUAUGUUAUGACAUGGCUAGACUUAUGAGAGAGAAUGCAUAGAUGGCAUUCAACCCCGGGACUGGCCCUUACUAGGUAUGGGUUUACUUCCCUUCUUGUGGAUAGCUGGGGGUCUCUUUCUUUACCUGAUUUUUCUCUGUGCUAUGCCAGCCCCAGAGGGUCUUCCACUGCAUUGUUAAGGAGAGGAAAACGGCCUGCAGUCAUCUUUCCAGAUCCUUUCCAGUUCAGUGAUGCCUCAAAUCACUACCAGCAAUCUCUGCUGCACUCUGAUGUCCAUUUCCUUGUGUGUUUCUUAGACUUUCAUAAUCUCCUAUGAAUGGAGCGUGGGAUCUGGAGGACCUGGCUUCCAGGCCUGACUCUCAGAAUAUCCUACUAGUUGACCCAUGCCAAAUGAUUUCCUUCUACUUAUGUAUGUUUGUAUGUAUGUAUGUAUGUUAAGUUUAUUUAUUUAUUUUGAGAGAUAGAGAAUGAACAAGCAGAGGAGGGGCAGAGAGAGAGAGGGAGAGGGGAAAAUCCCAAGCAGGCUCCAUGCUGUCAGCACAGAGCCCGAUGUAGGGCUUGAACCCAUGAACCAUGAGAUCAUAACCUGAGCCGAAACCAAGAGUCAGGCCCUUAAUGGACUGAGCCACCCAGGCCCCCCAAAACCUUCCUCUAUAUUUAAAUGAUAGUCCUAACCCUCUAGUCUCUCCAGAAUUGCAUCGAUUGAUGUCAUUGAUUUCUGCCUCGGUUUAUUGGAUACUCAGUAUCGAGGACAUCCAUUUCUGUUUUCUUCCUUUUAUGUGAUUCAAUGUUUGUACAUUCCCAUUGUUACUCCUGAAGUAGUAACCAGGUAACAUUUCUGAGCCUGGCUGAUCUAGAGGCCCUUCAAGGGCUGAGCUUCCUUCUUGAUAAUGGCAAUUCAGUACUUUCACUUAAUAUCUUAACAUUUGCAAAGUUCCUUCAUUUAUUCAUUAGCAUUGAACUCUCACAAAAGCUCCUGGAGAUGGGGAUUCUUAGGUACAUUUUAGAGAUGAGGAAACAGGCUGAGAGAUGAAAUGAUUUGCUCCAGAGUCCUAUAGCAGGUGCAGCAUACCCUAGAUUUCAAACAGCAUCCUUCUUCUGGUCUAACGCCCUGGCCUUUCUUCUGAAUGUAAAUGGGACUCCCAGCCUGAGUUAGAAAGUCUGUGUGCUCAUUAGUACCUAAGCGAAUCUGUCUUUCCAUGCAGAAGAAUGAGAUGAGACUUGGGAGCAUUUUCUUCAGCCUACAAGAUCUGCAUUUGUGUCCCUUUCUAAUAUAUUCCUAACCUUAAAUUCCUUCUUAAGCUCCAAGAACAUUUUACUCAGUGUAGAAAUUCACUGUUGUCAUUGGCUUCUUCAGAGCUUAGCCGUGCACGUUUCUUCAUUGUGAUUGGCAGGAGAGGUCCACUCAGUCCCUGAAUGUACAUUUUCUUGGACAUGGUCUCAGGAAUCAAUCGCUAUAAAAGAAAGUGCACUUGUUGUAAAAAGCACCCGUGAUUUUUUUUCCCUUCCUUUGAAUGCAAUGCCAUCUACCUUUACUAAUCCACUGAGCUUCUCCGUACAUGUCCCCGUCACUCAAAAAUGUAAGAGAACAGCAUGGUGUAGAUAGAGCGCUGGGCAAAUUAGAAGAGCAGAUUCCAAAGCCACCUCUUCCACUAGUUAAAUAUUUCACUUUGGAAUAUCACUUCACUUCUCUGAACAUCUAGUUCAUCUCUUGUUUUUUAUUUUUAUUUUUUUAAUGUGUAUUUAUUUUUGAGAGAGAGGGAGAGACAGAGCGUGAGCAGGGGAGGGGCAGAGAGAGAGGGAGACACAGAAUCCAAAGCAGGCUCCAGGCUCUGAGCUGUCAUCACAGAGCCCGACGCGGGGCUCAAACUCACAAACCGCGAGAUCAUGACCUGAGCCGAAGUCGGACGCCUAACCGACUAAGCCCCCCAGGCGCCCCUAGUUCAUCUCUUAUGAAGGACCAAACUAGAUCAUUUCUAAGGUUCUUUUCAACUCCAGUGGUUGGUAAAUUCUCCAGCAUAUUGGUCUCCUUCCUAGUUUAUUGGAAUACUAUCGUUUAUUCUUUUCAUUUCGCAGGGAAAUGCUUAUUGCACGUAAAGUUAGGAGGCUUUACUUAUUCCACACCUAUUUAUGGAGUACCGACUAUGCGCAAUAUAAUGGAAGUGUAAGAGAAGUUUGGAGGAGGGAGACAUCCAGAAGAGGAAACUGUGUAUGAGUAAUGAUAUGGCAGUUCGAAAAUACAAGUUUUGAUGAGAAUGGGGCAUGGCUGAGAAUUUAUAAGGCAUGGAGAGCUCAUUUCCACCAUGGUUGAUGCGCAGGAGUAAAUGCUUGUUGCAUUGAAUUGCUGCCUAAAUUCCUAGGAAGGAAGAUGGUAGUUUUUCUCAUACAGAAUAACUAGGAGAUUUUUUUUUUUUUUAAUGAGCUACCAAAAUAAAAAAAAAAAAACCGCAAUGGAAAAAUUGACAGCCUGGAUCUGUAAUCUAAGUGACCUGACAAUUAAAAGAACUUAUUACCGUGUUAGCCUGCCAGAUGGAUCUCCUUGAAAUGCAGCGUGCGGUGCUUCUGAACACAAUUCAAGUGCAGUCUUCCUUUUCUACCCGCUCCAUGUUUGUUGCGUUUGAGAAAGAAGCAGUUUUAUUUGAACUAAACCCACUCAUCUCAAGUGUGUUUAAUGACAGCAGGAUGUGACAGAUAAAAUAAAAUCCUACAGCCUCA